rnacentral:lncRNA from 1 species
AUGAAUAUUAAUUAAUAACAAUGUCUGGAAUAUGGACGUUUGAACUCAUUAAACAAUCAGUAUUAACUGCAAAAACAUGUCGGGAUCCCAAAGUCAAAUGCUGUGCAAUUUUCUAAAAUCAAUCCAAGUAAAGCUUAAUUGUAGUGAUCAUACUAAACGAAAUCCAAUCCAUGUACACCAACUAUGAUCCUAACUCAUCCAUUUUUGUCUUACAAACCACAUUUAAAUGCGGAUUAGACAUGCAUAAAACUAAGAGAUCAUACUACUACUUCAACCAAAGACAUGACUCAAAUCACCCCUUCAAAUCGAGCUCUUUCCUUUCUCGUCACAUUUCUCGAUUCCUUUUCCCUUGCUAAAAGUCAUGUGCAACGAAAUGUCGACGCCGCAUUUCUCGCUAAUUCUGGCUAGCCCAUCAAAUAAUCUUGGAAGCUCUUCGUCUUCCUUGUUGGGCUCCUCAUUGACCGUAUCAUUAAUAGAACUCGAAUCCCCGCCUAAAGCUUCAUCUUUCACCCAAUCGAAGUACUCACAGUAAUCGCUACAAGUAAAGAACAAUCGGCCUUUGUUCCCGAUGUCCCGUUCCACCUCAAAACAUUUUCGAUAUCCAUGGUCACAACUAGGGCAGCGACGCCUUAACUGGCAUUUUUCGAAGUAGUGCGCUUUGUUUCUGCAACUGUGACGGACCUAAAGUUCCUUCCUCUCUUUAUAGCCGAUUACUGCAAAUGAAAUCAAAAAGAUAGAAAAUCUCAUUGUAGUUACAUGAUUGAUUAUAAAUAAAUAAGAUUGAAUGUAGGAUAAACACAAACUGAUGGGUUCAUUUACUGUUAAAAUAUAUCACCACAACUACAGAACCCAGAAGAAACAUGUACAGGAUUGGGAAAGCAAAGGAUGGUCGGGAUUAUAUUUCAACUGCAAGUCUUCC